rnacentral:lncRNA from 14 species
CCCGGAACCCGCCCGGGUAACCCCGACACCGGCGGAGUUUCCGUCAAACGCCCGUCAUCAGACGUGCGGUGGCCCUAGCUUGCCCGGAGAGCCACGGCGGGAGGAAAGAGUGUGCAAGAUUGAAGGAGGAGUCCGGGAUCGGCGCCCUCGCCUCGGCUCUUCCAACUGCCGCCGCCAGGACCCCGGGCCAGGAGCUGCCGCGGCGGAGCCACCUGACACCUUUAAAUAGCACCCGGGCUGGCGAAACUGGAGCCCGGC